GUAACGCGUAUGCAAUCUACCUUUUACAGAGGGAUAGCCCAGAGAAAUUUGGAUUAAUACCUCAUAGCAUAUCGUUUGGGCAUCCUAACGAUAUUAAAGUUCCAACGGUAAAAGAUGAGCAUGCGUCCUAUUAGCUAGAUGGUAAGGUAACGGCUUACCAUGGCUACGAUAGGUAGGGGUCCUGAGAGGGAGAUCCCCCACACUGGUACUGAGACACGGACCAGACUCC
rnacentral:rRNA from 1 species